rnacentral:rRNA from 1 species
AACCUGGUUGAUCCUGCCAGUAGUCAUAUGCUUGUCUCAAAGAUUAAGCCAUGCAUGUCUAAGUUCAAGCGAAAAUAAAGUGAAACCGCGAAUGGCUCAUUACAUCAGUUAUGGUUCCUUAGAUCGCACUUACUACUUGGAUAACUGUGGUAAUUCUAGAGCUAAUACAUGCGCUGGACUCCAACCCUUGUGGAAGGAGUGCUUUUAUUAGAUCAAAGCCAAUCGGGCCUUCGGGUCCGUUUAAUUGGUGACUCUGAAUAACUUUGCUGAUCGCAUGGUCUCGUACCGGCGACGUAUCUUUCAAGUGUCUGCCUUAUCAACUGUCGAUGGUAGGUUAUGCGCCUACCAUGGUGGUAACGGGUAACGGGGAAUCAGGGUUCGAUUCCGGAGAGGGAGCCUGAGAAACGGCUACCACAUCCAAGGAAGGCAGCAGGCGCGCAAAUUACCCACUCCCAGCUCGGGGAGGUAGUGACGAAAAAUAACGAUACGGAACUCUUACGAGGCUCCGUAAUCGGAAUGAGUACACUUUAAAUCCUUUAACAAGGAUCUAUUGGAGGGCAAGUCUGGUGCCAGCAGCCGCGGUAAUUCCAGCUCCAAUAGCGUAUAUUAUUAUUGUUGCGGUUAAAAAGCUCGUAGUUGGAUCUCGGUUUCGGGCGAGUGGUGCACCUUGCGGUGUUUACUGCCAGCCCGGACGAUUUUGUUGGUUCGUUUAUAGUUCUCUUAAUCGAGUGCUAUAAGUGGCCAGCACGUUUACUUUUGAAAAAAUUGGAGUGCUCAAAGCAAGCAGCUACAGCCUGAACAUUAAUGCAUGGAAUAAUGAAUAGGAUCUCGGUCUAUUUCGUGGCUUCGGGGUCGAGUAUUGAUAAUAGGACAGGACGGGGCAUCGUACUGCGACGUAGAGGUGAAUACUGCAUCGUCCGAGACGAACUACUGGCGAAGCAAUGCAAGAUGUUCAUAUCAGACCGAGGUAAAGUCCGAGGCAUCGAUACCGCUAAGUCUGACCUAACGAUUCGAUCGAAUCGAUCGUGAACUGAUGACUACGUAAGCUCGGUACAGACUGAUCGGAGUAUGGCAGUGGACUCAU